AUGGCUCAGAUUGAACGCUGGCGGAAUGCUUUACACAUGCAAGUCGAACGGUAGACGGGGGCAACCCCUCGAGAGGUGGCGAACGGGUGAGUAAUAUAUCGGAACGUGCCCAGUCGUGGGGGAUAACGUAGCGAAAGUUACGCUAAUACCGCAUACGAUCUAAGGAUGAAAGCGGGGGACCGUAAGGCCUCGCGCGAUUGGAGCGGCCGAUAUCAGAUUAGGUAGUUGGUGGGGUAAAGGCUCACCAAGCCAACGAUCUGUAGCUGGUCUGAGAGGACGACCAGCCACACUGGAACUGAGACACGGUCCAGACUCCUACGGGAGGCAGCAGUGGGGAAUUUUGGACAAUGGACGCAAGUCUGAUCCAGCCAUUCCGCGUGCAGGAUGAAGGCCCUCGGGUUGUAAACUGCUUUUGUACGGAACGAAAAGGUUUGUCUUAAUACGAUGAGCUCAUGACGGUACCGUAAGAAUAAGCACCGGCUAACUACGUG
rnacentral:rRNA from 1 species